rnacentral:rRNA from 1 species
GAUGAACGCUGGCGGCGUGCCUAAUACAUGCAAGUCGAGCGAACAGACGAGGAGCUUGCUCCUCUGACGUUAGCGGCGGACGGGUGAGUAACACGUGGAUAACCUACCUAUAAGACUGGGAUAACUUCGGGAAACCGGAGCUAAUACCGGAUAAUAUAUUGAACCGCAUGGUUCAAUAGUGAAAGACGGUUUUGCUGUCACUUAUAGAUGGAUCCGCGCCGCAUUAGCUAGUUGGGAAGGUAACGGCUUACCAAGGCAACGAUGCGUAGCCGACCUGAGAGGGGGAUCGGCCACACUGGAACUGAGACACGGUCCAGACGCCUACGGGAGGCAGCAGUAGGGAAUCUUCCGCAAUGGGCGAAAGCCUGACGGAGCAACGCCGCGUGAGUGAUGAAGGUCUUCGGAUCGUAAAACUCUGUUAUGAGGGAAGAACAAAUGUGUAAGUAACUAUGCACGUCUUGACGGUACCUAAUCAGAAAGCCACGGCUAACUACGUG